rnacentral:rRNA from 1 species
AGUCACGAGUUUGAUCAUGGCUCAGAUUGAACGCUGGCGGCAUGCCUUACACAUGCAAGUCGAACGAGACCUUCGGGUCUAGUGGCGCACGGGUGCGUAACGCGUGGGAACCUGCCUUUAGGUUCGGAAUAACUCAGAGAAAUUUGAGCUAAUACCGGAUAAUGUCUUCGGACCAAAGAUUUAUCGCCUUUAGAUGGGCCCGCGUUGGAUUAGCUAGUUGGUGGGGUAAAGGCCUACCAAGGCGACGAUCCAUAGCUGGUCUGAGAGGAUGAUCAGCCACACUGGGACUGAGACACGGCCCAGACUCCUACGGGAGGCAGCAGUGGGGAAUAUUGGACAAUGGGCGAAAGCCUGAUCCAGCAAUGCCGCGUGAGUGAUGAAGGCCUUAGGGUUGUAAAGCUCUUUUACCCGAGAUGAUAAUGACAGUAUCGGGAGAAUAAGCUCCGGCUAACUCCGUG